ACUUGCAUGUAGGGGGGAAGACUUGGCAAAUCCGGUUUUCCAUAACUCUGAGGUGCGAAGUGGUUCUGACCUUUUGGUACAGAGAAGUCAUUGAUGCCCGGCUUCCAGGAAAAGCUGCUAGCCAUAACUUAUAGAGAACCGUACCGCAAACCGACACAGGUGGACAGGUAGAGAAUACUAAGGCGCUUGAGAGAACUCGGGUGAAGGAACUAGGCAAAAUGGUACCGUAACUUCGGGAGAAGGUACGCCCUUUCUGGUGAUGGGAUUUACUUUCAGAGCUGGAGAGGGCCGCAGAGACCAGGUGGCUGCGACUGUUUAUUAAAAACACAGCACUCUGCAAAUUCGUAAGAAGACGUAUAGGGUGUGACGCCUGCCCGGUGCCGGAAGGUUAAUUGAUGGGGUUAUCUUCGGAGAAGCUCUUGAUCGAAGCCCCGGUAAACGGCGGCCGUAACUAUAACGGUCCUAAGGUAGCGAAAUUCCUUGUCGGGUAAGUUCCGACCUGCACGAAUGGCGUAACGAUGGCCACACUGUCUCCACCCGAGACUCAGUGAAAUUGAAAUCGCUGUGAAGAUGCAGUGUACCCGCGGCUAGACGGAAAGACCCCGUGAACCUUUACUAUAGUUUUGCACUGGACUUUGAUGAUGACUGUGUAGGAUAGGUGGGAGGCUGUGAAGUGAGGACGCUAGUUCUCAUGGAGCCGCCCUUGAAAUACCACCCUGUUGUUAUUGAGGUUCUAACUUGGUCCAGUAAUCCUGGAUGAGGACAGUGUAUGAUGGGUAGUUUGACUGGGGCGGUCUCCUCCCAAAGAGUAACGGAGGAGCACAAAGGUACCCUCGGUACGGUCGGACAUCGUACCAAGAGUGUAAAGGCAAAAGGGUGCUUGACUGCGAGAGUGACGGCUCGAGCAGGAACGAAAGUUGGUCUUAGUGAUCCGGUGGUUCUGAAUGGAAGGGCCAUCGCUCAACGGAUAAAAGGUACUCCGGGGAUAACAGGCUGAUACCGCCCAAGAGUUCAUAUCGACGGCGGUGUUUGGCACCUCGAUGUCGGCUCAUCACAUCCUGGGGCUGAAGCAGGUCCCAAGGGUAUGGCUGUUCGCCAUUUAAAGUGGUACGCGAGCUGGGUUUAGAACGUCGUGAGACAGUUCGGUCCCUAUCUGCCGUGGGCGUAGGAAAAUUGAGAGGAGCUGCUCCUAGUACGAGAGGACCGGAGUGGACGAACCUCUGGUGCACCGGUUGUCACGCCAGUGGCAUGGCCGGGUAGCUAAGUUCGGACGGGAUAACCGCUGAAAGCAUCUAAGCGGGAAGCCUCCCUCAAGAUGAGUUUUCCCAUGAAGCCCGUUGAAGACUACGACGUUGAUAGGCAAGGUGUGGAAGCGCAGUAAUGCGUGAAGCUAACUUGUACUAAUUGGCUGAUUGUCUUGACCAU
rnacentral:rRNA from 1 species